rnacentral:rRNA from 1 species
AGCAGCCGCGGUAAUUCCAGCUCCAAUAGCGUAUAUUAAAGUUGUUGCAGUUAAAAAGCUCGUAGUUGAAUUUCGAGAUCAAAUUGUUGGUCGUGCCUUGGUACGUACUGGCAUUAUUGGUUUCUCCCUUCUGAAGAACCAUGAUGUCAUUAAUUUGGUGUCAUGGGGAAUCAGGACUGUUACUUUGAAAAAAUUGAGUGUUUAAAGCAGGCUCGCGCUUGAAUACAUUAGCAUGGAAUAAUGAAAUAGGACGUUUAAUUCUAUUUUGUUGGUUUCUAGGAUUGACGUAAUGAUUAAUAGGGAUAGUUGGGGGCAUUAGUAUUCAAUUGUCAGGGGUGAAAUUCUUGGAUUUAUUGAAGACUAACUACUGCGAAAGCAUUUGCCAAGGAUGUUUUCAUUAAUCAAGAACGAAAGUUAGGGAUCGAAGACGAUCAGAUACCGUCGUAGUCU